UACGUAGGGGCUAGCGUUAUCCGGAAUUACUGGGCGUAAAGGGUGCGUAGGUGGUUUCUUAAGUCAGAGGUGAAAGGCUACGGCUCAACCGUAGUAAGCCUUUGAAACUGGGAAACUUGAGUGCAGGAGAGGAGAGUGGAAUUCCUAGUGUAGCGGUGAAAUGCGUAGAUAUUAGGAGGAACACCAGUUGCGAAGGCGGCUCUCUGGACUGUAACUGACACUGAGGCACGAAGGCGUGGGGAGCAAACAGGAUUAGAUACCCCCGUAGUCCCUCGAGCGGG
rnacentral:rRNA from 1 species